ACUGAAUUUAAUAAAGGCUUGGUGCUACAAAAAGCCAUGUAAGGGGAUGAUGCUGGAGUUCUUUUGUUUCCCUCCUGAAUUUUCUUGUAUAGGUUUGUCUUUAGAUGCCAUGGUCCGGAAUCUGCACUCCCAGAUGAUAAUGAGUCAGUUCAUCUUAGACUGUGCUGCCUGUUGGUAACUAAGAGCUGGGGCUGGUCAGCUAAAGGGCUUGUUAGGGUACUGCUCAAAUGAAGCCAAAAUUAUGAGCUCUAACACAUGGGAUUGUUAGGUUCAGUGUCCGCCAGCCAUCCCCCAAAAUGCCUGGGUUUAGUCAUAAGGGGCAUCAGUUUAGAAGCAGUGAUGAAGCAUCCAUGCUGCGGUGCUUGGAGAUGAGCCUUAAAAUCCACACUUCCCCGGCGGUAGCUAAAGGACUUCAUUACAAAUCAGUAGUAGUUUUACAUAUAGAUUGUAAGAGGAGGGAAUAUCUGAACGCAUCCAGAGGCUUCACACAGAAGGGGAUAUCUGAACUGGCUUUGGUAAAAAGCAAAUUAACAUUUUUGUCUUAUGGAGAUUGAAGCAAAGCAUAAGCCCAAAGAACGAAGCAUAAAAUUCAAGAGCACAUUCAGGUUUGUCACAGUGGGUGGAGGAGUGGGGCGGGAGGAAGGAGAGGGAAGGCACACUUAGUUGAGGUGAGCUGUCAGGCGGGCUGGCUGUUCAGAGCUGAGCACUGCCCACAGCUGCCCUUGCCCCUGCCUUUCCACGUUGCACAAGCCCAGCGCACGGUACCCACUGGAUAUGCCCGAGGCCUCCAGAGGAAAGGAAAGGAGGAAAAGGGACAGAAGAAAUGUUCACAGGAACUGCAUAUGGGCCUGCUACUUGUGUCAAAAUGUGACUGAACUCUCUUCCAGCAGUGUGAAUCCCUGGAAGGCAAGAUCGCCAUUCUGGUCUCUUGUGGAUAUCAAUGCUGAUCUCAGCUUCUGAUGCACGGCAGUCAAUUAAUAAAUGAUUGUUGCCUGAAAAACUGAGCCCCAAAACAAUAUUACAAGUUUAAUAUCAGUAAAGGAUUUAAUGCUUUCUAACAUGAAGAUACCAGAUCUUUUCUAUUCCUGGACUUUUAGAGUUGCUGAUUUUUGUAUAACCCAGAGAUGGAUUUAAAUGCAGAGUGUAUGAACUUCUUCAUUCCUGAGGGAGGACUUAUGAUUUCAUGAGAAAUGCCCUAGGAAAGGGGCCGGGGAGACUGAUGGAGAAGAAGAGUUUGGGAGGGAAGCCCCAAGGACCAUCUGCCCCAUCAGAGUCACAUGCAGAGGGUCCUGCUCCUGCCGUUGGAAGUUGGCUUCCUGAGCUGCUGAACGUGCCAGUCCUGCUGACCCACUCUCAGAUAUCACAGGCACCCGCUGUGUCUGACAGAGACCUUUCUGCAAGUACACGUGCAGGUCUGCUCUGCAAAGGCGUUAUCAUCUGCAGAUUAUUGCACAGAGUGGCUACGAGCUGUGGUGUGAUCCUGUCACAGAGAGAGCCUGGUCACGUUUUCAGAACAGCAGGAAACAGGAAUCCUGUAAAGAUUUCCAACCACUGUACCAUCUGCUGGGAAGGACAGAAGACCACUGUUUGAAGAAGGACUAUUGCUUAGAUCCUGGAAUCAGAAACAGCAACAGAACGUCCUAAAUGAUCAGAACACCACAUACCAUUAU
rnacentral:lncRNA from 10 species